rnacentral:lncRNA from 1 species
GCUGCACAAAGGCUCCCCCCACUUCCCGGCUGCUGGGCGGGAGGAGGACGGCGGCCCCUGCCCCCCGCCGACAGGUCCUCUUUCCACUCUCCUUAAAAGCACAACCGCCUUUGAUCUGCCCGUCACCCUGUGAAACCUGAGACCUGUUCCUGCCCCUUUGGCUGCGAGGCCAGGGGCCAUCUGGUCCUCGGAGCGGGGCGUCUCUGGGAGUGAGUGCAGGGCGGAAGCCAAGGGCCCAGCUGCGGAGGCCCCUCGGCCACGCUGUCCCUUCCUGUCCAGUGCCCAGGGGAGAGGGGGGACACUGUGCCUUUAAGCCCUGGGUGUCCCUCUGUCCCCGACGGCCACCGCUGAAAGUCAGGCACCGUCUGUGGCCCAUACGGAGCACACAGAAGGCAGUGUCCACGGUGAGGGUCUCCGGUGAGUGCAGGAAACGGUGGGCUGCGAUUAUGAAAUGCACCACGUGAUCAUCCAGUAUGGAUGGCCUUAUAGGAGAGGGCAUCGAUUAUAAAUGCAUGAUGCAAUUAUUAAAAAUAAUGCAAUUAUAAAUACAGAAUGCAAUAUAAAAUAUAGUAUAAUGCAAUCAUUAAAAAAUAAUGCAAUUAUAAAAACAUAAUGCAAUAUAAAAUGGAUAAUGCAAUCACAUAAAGCAAUGCUAACAUAUAUCUUGCAAAUACAAAAUGCAUACUGUGAUCACAAAAUAUAGAGUGUACUUGUCGAAUAUGCGAUUAUAAAAUACAUAAUGCAAUUAUUUAAAAAAACAAUGCAAUUAUGAAAUACCUAAUGCAAUAUAAAAUGCAUAAUGCAAUUAUUAAAAAAAUAAUGCGAUUAUAAAAUACAUAAUGCAAUCCUAACAUAUAUGAUGCAAAUACAAAAUGCAUACUGUGAUUACAAAAUAUAGAGUGUACUAGUGGAAUAUGCAAUUAUAAAAUACAUAAUGCAAUUAUAAAAAUAGAUAAUGCAAUUAUUAAAAAAUAAUGCAAUUAUAAAAUACAUAAUGCAAUUAUAAAAUACAUAAUGCGAUUAUAAAAUACAUAAUGCAAUCAUAUAAUGUGAUACUAACAUAUAUCAUGCAAUUACAAAAUACAUAAUGUAAUCACAGAAUAUAGAAUGUACUUAUGGAAUAUGCAAUUAUAAAAUACAUAAUGCAAUUAUAAAGUACCUAAUGCCAUUAUCAAAAAAUAAUGCAAUUAUUUUUAAAAUCGUGUAAUUAUAAAAUACAUAGUGCAAUUAUGUGCAUUGUGAUUUUAAGACACGCAAUGUAAUAAAUGCAUGAUAUAUGAUCAAGAUCAUAUAACCUAGCAUACUGUGCUCAUAAAUAUGCAAUGCAAUUAUGUGACAUACAUCAUGAUUAUAGAAUAUAUAAUGUGGCAGUGUAGGAUGCCAUGUGGUCAUAAACUGCACAUGAUAUUUAAAGAUAAUUAUGUGAUAUGUAAUGCGCUUAUAAAAUAGGUGAUUUUUUAAAUUUUUUUUUAUUCUAGCUCGGGUAAUCAUUGAAUGCACAAGGAGAUUGCAGACUCUAGUAACCUCA